CGCUCCUCCGGGUAAUGGGCGCGGGGCAGGUCCGGCCAGCGCUCCUCCGGAUAGUGGGCGCGGGGCAGGUCCGGCCAGCGCUCCUCCGGGUAAUGGGCGCGGGGCAGGUCCGGCCAGCGCUCCUCCGGGUAGUGGGCGCGGGGCAGGUCCGGCCAGCGCUCCUCCGGGUAGUGGGCGCGGGGCAGGUCCGGCCAGCGCUCCUCCGGGUAGUGGGCGCGGGGCAGGUCCGGCCAGCGCUCCUCCGGGUAGUGGGCGCGGGGCAG